GGGCCGCUAACUCAAGUGGCAGAGUAACGGACUUUUAAUCCGUGAGCUGCGGGUUCGAGUCCCGCGCGGCCCA
rnacentral:tRNA from 1 species